rnacentral:rRNA from 1 species
CCUACGGGAUGCAGCAGUGGGGAAUAUUGGACAAUGGGCGAAAGCCUGAUCCAGCAAUGCCGCGUGAGUGAUGAAGGCCUUAGGGUUGUAAAGCUCUUUUACCCGGGAUGAUAAUGACAGUACCGGGAGAAUAAGCCCCGGCUAACUCCGUGCCAGCAGCCGCGGUAAUACGAAGGGGGCUAGCGUUGUUCGGAAUUACUGGGCGUAAAGCGCGCGUAGGCGGAUAGAUAAGUCAGAGGUGAAAUCCCGGGGCUCAACCCCGGAAUUGCCUUUGAUACUGUUUAUCUUGAGUGCAGAGGAGGUAAGUGGAAUUCCGAGUGUAGAGGUGAAAUUCGUAGAUAUUCGGAGGAACACCAGUGGCGAAGGCGGCUUACUGGUCUGCAACUGACGCUGAGGCGCGAAAGCGUGGGGAGCAAACAGGAUUAGAUACCCUCGUAGUC